rnacentral:rRNA from 1 species
CCCUUAGAUGUUCUGGGCUGCACGCGUGUUACAAUCGGGAGUACAACAAGAUUGCAAAUCCUAGUGGAUGAGUGGUUCUUCGAAAUUUUCUGAAGACUGGGAUAGUUGAUUGAAAUUAUUCAACUCGAACGAGGAAUUCCUUGUAAUUGUAAUUCAUUAUAUUGUAAUGAAUACGUCCCUGCCCUUUGUACACACCGCCCGCCGCUCCUACCGAUUGAACGAUCCGGUGAAUUAUUUGGAGUAGCUCUGGAAGUUGCAGAACUUCCUAUGUCACGAAAUUUUGUAAACCUUAUCGUUUAGAGGAAGGAAAAGUCGUAACA